GCUCGCCUCGCCUCGCCUCGGCCCCGGGCCGCAGCACCGCGGGGAGCCCGGCUCUGGUGCCGCCGCGGUGGGGUCGACCGCGAUGUUCACCCGCCCGUGGGCGCCGGCGGCGCGGGGCGAUGGCAGCGCCGGGAUGGUGGCGGGAGCAGCGCGCCCCCGCGCUCCUCGGCCGCAGACAAAAUGGCGCCCCAAGGCGGGGCGCUCCGCAAGCGGGCCGGGCCGGUGCGGGGCGCCGGGGCCGGCAGGUACGAGCUGAGCGCGGCGCCUUUCCGUGAAUCCCGGCGUGGGGCGGUGCUGCUUGGUGCGCGGGUGCGGAGCCGAGCGGCAGCCGCGUUGCCAACCUGCUGCCCCGGCUGCUGCGUCUGUCCUAAACGUGUCUUCUGGGAGGCAGUGGAAGGCUACGCAGAACAGUCCAAAAAUCACUUCGGUUCCUUUUAGAGGCUGGGGAAGAAACAGUAGUGAGGAGCCAGUAACUACAGCCACAGUGCAAGUUUAACCUGGAAUAGAGGCUGCUGCUUUGGAGGCGCAGAUGCUCUAGGAAAGUGAUGCACCUCCAGGAGUUGAUGCCUGCGUCCAGGAGUGUGCAAAGGCUGUAGUCUGAACGCCCGUACGCAGUUAACUAGACACUCAGGAUGAAGAUAGUUGUUGUCAUAUGCUCUUAUUCUGAGAUCUGCUGGUUUGGUUGGCUACCACUAGACUCGUCCUUGUUCUCAGAUGCUGUCUUCGUACAUUUAGUGGCACUGAGAAGCACAGUUUUGAACCUACGUAAGAUGGAACAUAACAGAGGACAAAAAGCUCAUGAAGCGGCACGUGACAUCUUUUAUCGGAUUUAGCAGUAAUCACAAUUUCCAUAAUGCACGCAACUUCAAGCUUCUGAAAUCAGUAAGGCAAACUAUUAUUUUGACGCUUCUGAGACAUUCUUUCCAUAGGUGUACCUUUUCCAUAUUUAGCUGCAAGAAAUAUAGAACCAGAAUUCUGUGUAUAUCAAAUUACCCAAAUGUACAAAUAAAAUAAUAAAAAAGGGGCAGUAUCCCCCUCUCAGUCUUGACCAUUAGGACUGAGAGGAGUAGCUCUUUAAUAAUCAUAUAUAAUUCUUAAUAUAAGCUCACACACUUCUCAUAUAACAACUGCACAUUAAUAACUUAGAUGGAGACUUUUAUUUGCCCCAAAUUAUUUUUGAUUUAGAUACAUAUGAAGCAUUGUGAAAAAGGGCAAAAAAGGAUAUGGAAAGCAAAGAGGGGUAAGUGUGUACUCUUUUCUGAGGAUUCUAGACUUCUGGGAAAGAUCUAUUCCUACCCAGCAGGACAGUUGCCUCUGAAGUGGGAACCAUUCAUCUCCAUUAGUACCUUAAAAUAUGGAAGCUUCCCUGGAUCAUUUUUUCCUGAACAGGACGAGUUACUUGACUGCAACAUUGUUCCCCCCCCCAGCCCCCAAACAGCUUCCAAAGUCAUUUAAACAUAACCACUUGCAUAAAAUUAAUGUAUAGCUGGUUUACAGUUAAGGUUCUGAAGUUUGAUGAAGAAAUUCCCACUUGACAGGCUACAAUGUGAUACUCAGUUAUUCCUUCCAGUCCAAAGUGCUUUGCAUAGGGGACUCAUUCUCAAGAGUAAGGUAUGCUGAAAGGGAGGAGUAAUUUAAAUUUAGGGCUAUGUAGCAUCAGAAAUUUACCAAGAUAUGCAAAUUUAAAGCUAUUACAGUAGAAGACUUUUUAAAAGUUAGUUUCCCUUAUUAAGCACAAUAUUGCUCAAAUCUUUAAGCCACACAGCAUAAGCAUGCAUUGUCCUUAGAAACUGCUCAAAUCAAGCUUAUUUCUUGGUACUUCGGAUACCUUUUUAGCCAAGUUACAUAUACAUCUGUAGUAUUUCUUACUAUAAUCACUAUACAGAAAUAUGUAUUACUAUGUAUACAUACACCCUUGUGCGAUUUCUUGUUACAUCUGAAAAACUCCUGCAGUAUAUUGGUGAAACUAACAUGCAAAAACCUUAUGUAUUGCAUGGAGGUUUCUUUAAAUAAGGUUUAAUUCUGGCCUGAAUGCAUACAUGGAACACAGGUUAAAGUAUGUAAAUAUGUAAAUACACUAAAAGUAUACAGUUUUCUUACAUGGAGGAAAAAAACCUUUUAAACACUCAAAUAAAUAUAAUUAAAUAUAAUUUUAAACAACCUCCUUUUAGAAACGUUGUUUUAAAAGUAAAUGCAACUGAUAUGCUCAUUUCCUGCUUCUAGCAAUUAGCUGUUCUGCUAAAAGUUAAAUUGCAAAUUUAGGCAUAAAUAUUUUCUCAUUUUCAACUUAACAUACUGUUAAAAAUACUCUUACUCUAUUUCCUUAAAGAGAAUAAAUUUGA